UUUUUUUUUUUCCGUUUUUUUUUUUUUUUUUUUUUUUUUUUAGCCCGAAACGGGAGGAGAACGUAGCCUCCCUGCUGCUGCCCAGAGCCCUUCCCCGGCGGCCCCGGAUCAUCCGACGCGUCCUGGGAGAGAGAGAGAGAAAGUGGCAGCGGCAGAGGAGGAGGAGGAGGUGGUGGUGGUGGUGAAGGAGAGAGGCGUGGGGGAGGGGAGGCCGGCAGCGGGGUUGAGGCGCCAAAGGCUGAGUGAGACGGUCCCCGUUCAGGGGAGGGCAUCACCCACAAGAUGAGGGUGAGUUGGUGGGUGCUGCCCUUUUGCUCUUCAGGAGCCAAAUCGUCCAGCAACGUACCCCUGGUAACCCCAGUAAUAAAUCACUCCGUGGUCCUAAAGGGGAAAUAACUGCAGCCCCACCACGGUGCGGGACGUCCCCAAACUGUCCCUGCUGGAUCCUGGUCUGCAGGGCGGGACCGAAAGCCACCGGUAAAA